GACGAACGCUGGCGGCGUGCCUAACACAUGCAAGUCGAGCGGGGACUUAAUCAUGAAGUUUUCGGAUGGAUUGGUUAAGUUCUAGCGGCGGACGGGUGAGUAACGCGUGAGCAACCUGCCUAUCACUGGGGAAUAACGCAGCGAAAGUUGUGCUAAUACCGCAUGAGACCACAGAGGGACAUCCCUUAGGGGUCAAAGAUUUAUCGGUGAUAGAUGGGCUCGCGUCUGAUUAGCUAGUUGGUGAGGUAACGGCCCACCAAGGCGACGAUCAGUAGCCGACCUGAGAGGGUGAUCGGCCACAUUGGAACUGAGAACGGUCCAA
rnacentral:rRNA from 1 species